rnacentral:lncRNA from 1 species
CAGGUUUUUUUUUAUUUCCAAACUGCUAAUUUGACUUUUUUUCGAGAUAAAAGAAAAAGAAUAUUAUUAUGCACAAAGGUACCAAGGGGAAACCACCCUAAAUCACAAAAUUAUAAGUCGAUCAGGUGGUCCAUGACAGCUACCAAUAUCUGUCUAAUCUAAUGUCAUGACCAAACAAAAUAUAAUCAAAAGUAUGAAACCAUCUAUCCCUAAUAUUUACAAUGCUUGUUUCAAUACCCUUAAAAACCCUAGCGUUUCUCUCCCUCUAAACUACCCACAUAAUAAAAAUCAGAAUAAGAUAUAAUUCUUUUUUCUUUUUACAUAAAUCAAC